rnacentral:rRNA from 1 species
GACGAACGCUGGCGGCGUGCUUAACACAUGCAAGUCGAACGGUAAGGCCCUUCGGGGUACACGAGUGGCGAACGGGUGAGUAACACGUGGGUGAUCUACCCUGCACUUCGGGAUAAGCCUGGGAAACUGGGUCUAAUACCGGAUAGGACCACUGCAUGCAUGGGUGGGGGUGGGAAGCUUUUGCGGGGUGGGAUGGGCCCGCGGCCUAUCAGCUUGUUGGUGGGGUGAUGGCCUACCAAGGCGACGACGGGUAGCCGGCCUGAGAGGGUGACCGGCCACACUGGGACUGAGAUACGGCCCAGACUCCUACGGGAGGCAGCAGUGGGGAAUAUUGCACAAUGGGCGCAAGCCUGAUGCAGCGACGCCGCGUGAGGGAUGACGGCCUUCGGGUUGUAAACCUCUUUCAGCACCGACGAAGCGCAAGUGACGGUAGGUGCAGAAGAAGGACCGGCCAACUACGUGCCAGCCGCCGCAGUAA